GAGUUUGAUCAUGGCUCAGAUUGAACGCUGGCGGCAGGCCUAACACAUGCAAGUCGAGCGGCAGCGACAUGAUAGAAGCUUCGGUGGAAAUCAUGGACGGCGAGCGGCGGACGGGUGAGUAAUGCCUGGGAAUAUGCCUUGAUGUGGGGGAUAACUAUUGGAAACGAUAGCUAAUACCGCAUAAUGCCUUCGGGCCAAAGAGGGGGACCUUCGGGCCUCUCGCGUCAAGAUUAGCCCA
rnacentral:rRNA from 1 species